rnacentral:rRNA from 1 species
CCUACGGGUGGCAGCAGUGAGGAAUAUUGGUCAAUGGACGAGAGUCUGAACCAGCCAAGUAGCGUGAAGGAUGACUGCCCUACGGGUUGUAAACUUCUUUUAUAAAGGAAUAAAACGCGGCACGUGUGCUUCUUUGCAUGUACCUUAUGAAUAAGGAUCGGCUAACUCCGUGCCAGCAGCCGCGGUAAUACGGAGGAUCCGAGCGUUAUCCGGAUUUAUUGGGUUUAAAGGGUGCGUAGACGGGUUGUUAAGUCAGUUGUUAAAGUUUGCGGCUCAACCGUAACAUUGCAGUUGAUACUGGCAGGCUUGAGUGCAGUUGAGGUAGGCGGAAUGCGUGGUGUAGCGGUGAAAUGCUUAGAUAUCACGAAGAACCCCGAUUGCGAAGGCAGCUUACUGAACUGUGACUGACAUUGAUGCUCGAAAGUGUGGGUAUCAAACAGGAUUAGAUACCCUUGUAGUC